GAUGAACGCUGGCGGCGUGCUUAACACAUGCAAGUCGAACGAGAAGUGAAGACGGAAACCUUCGGGCGGAAGGCUUUAUUUCGAGUGGCGGACGGGUGAGUAACGCGUGGGUAACCUGCCUCAUACAGGGGGAUAACAGUUGGAAACGACUGUUAAUACCGCAUAAGACCACAGCACCGCAUGGUGCGGGGGUCACAACUCCGGUGGUAUGAGAUGGACCCGCGUUCGAUUAGCCAGAUGGCGGGGUAACGGCCCACCAAAGCGACGAUCGAUAGCCGAUCUGAGAGGAUGACCGGCCACAUUGGGACUGAGACACGGCCCGAACUCCUACGGGAGGCAGCAGUGGGGAAUAUUGCACAAUGGGGGAAACCCAGAUGCAGCGACGCCGCGUGAGUGAAGAAGUAUUUCGGUAAGUAAAGCUCUAUCAGCAGGGAAGAAAAUGACGGUACCUGAGUAAGAAGCCCCGGCUAACUACGUG
rnacentral:rRNA from 1 species